rnacentral:rRNA from 1 species
UACGGGGGGGGCAAGCGUUGUUCGGAAUUACUGGGCGUAAAGGGCUCGUAGGCGGCCAACUAAGUCAGACGUGAAAUCCCUCGGCUUAACCGGGGAACUGCGUCUGAUACUGGAUGGCUUGAAUCCGGGAGAGGGAUGCGGAAUUCCAGGUGUAGCGGUGAAAUGCGUAGAUAUCUGGAGGAACACCGGUGGCGAAGGCGGCAUCCUGGACCAUUACUGACGCUGAUGAGCGAAAGCCAGGGGAGCAAACGGG